ACAAAAUCCUGACUGUUCAGAAAAAUGGAGAUCAGUACUUUAUUAUGGUUUUGGGGAAUUGUUUUGGUUGGUUUGGUAUAUGGUAAUUCAGCCUGUUUAGAAGAAGAGAGAAUUGCUCUGUUGCAUAUCAAAGCAACCUUUAAAAGUACUCAUUAUUCCACUUGGGUAGAUAAUAAGAAAAGUGACUGCUGUAUAUGGGAAGGUGUAAAAUGUAGUAACAGUACUACCAUGCCAGUAAUUGAACUCUCUGUCAAUGGGACAGACCCAAAACCGAAUACUAGAUAUUUCAAUGCGUCUAUGUUUCUGCCAUUUCAAAGUCUUGUGGUUCUAAACUUGCCUAACAGCUACUUAGUAGGUUGGUUUAAAAAUGAAGGUAUGGAUUUUCUGAUUGUAUUUGAGAAUACUAGUGGAGUACUUAUUUUGGAGGAUCUUGGCAGUUGUUGUCACGUGACCGGAAGGGAUUCGAACCGUGGAAACAGUCUCUUGCAGAAAUGCAGGGUAAGGCUGACAAUAGACCAUUGUGGUCUGGUCUUUUUCCAAACCCCGUGCAUAGCGAGCGCUUAGUGCACUGGACUGCCAUGCGACCAAGAAGUCACGGGUUCGAAUUGUGAAAAUAGUCUCUUGCAGAAAUGCAGUAUAAGGCCACGUACAGGAGACCUUUCUGGUCCAGCCCUUCCCGAAUCCCGCGCAUAGCGAAAAUUUAGUGUUAAGUGUUUUGAUAAGUUGUCUGAGUUAAGGAAUUUGAAGGUUCUUGAUUUAAGUGGUAAUAAGUUCAAUCUUAGUGUUCUCUCGUCUCUCAGUCAGCUUUCAUCUCUCAAGUCUUUGAUUCUCAGCGGCAAUCCUCUGGACAGUGUGCCUACUAAACCUAGUAUGUACCUAAUUUCUUUAUCAGUUCACUAUUCUUGAUUACUUUAAUUUAAGUGCUUGAGAGUUAUAGUAGUUUGUUUUCCCGAAAGUUGUUGAAUGAAUAUAUAUAUACCCAUGUGGUCCGGUCCUUUUUCCGGACGCCACGCAUAGCAUGCACCGACAAAGUUGUCAUAACCGGUAAAGUUGCUGUCCGUGAAAACAGCUUCUUGCAGAAAUGCAGGGUAAAGUUGUUUAAAAUAGACCCUUGUG